rnacentral:pre_miRNA from 1 species
CACAUACUUCCUCCGUUCCGAAUUACUUGUCGCGGGUAUGGAUGUAUCUAGAUGUAUUUUAAUUCUAGAUACAUCCAUUUCUGCAACGAGUAAUUUGGAAUGGAGGGAGUACUUG